rnacentral:rRNA from 1 species
GUUUAGUCGUAAACUUAGUGCCGCCAGGAUACUACGAGCAACUGCUUAAAAACCAAAGGACCUGGCGGUGCUUUACUCCCCCUAGAGGAGCCUGUUUCCUAACCGAUAAUCCCCGUUCUACCUCACCCCUUCUCGUCAGCCUAUAUACCGCCGUCUUCAGUCUACCUUUCAAAGAACAAUAUUAGGCAAAAUAUCAACCUCCCCUCAAAACGUCAGGUCGAGGCGUAGCCAAUGAAGGGGUACAAAAUGGGCUACAUUCCCUCGAGUGCUGAAAGAAGGAGGAUUUAGAAGUAAGUAAGUUCAGAGUAGCCUACUGAAAUCGGCACUAAAGCAUGC